rnacentral:rRNA from 1 species
UGGGGGAUAUUGCACAAUGGGCGAAAGCCUGAUGCAGCGACGCCGCGUGGGGGAUGAAGGCUUUCGGGUUGUAAACCUCUUUCGCUAUCGAACAAGGCCCGCUUAGGGUGGGUUGAGGGUAGGUGGAGAAGAAGCGCCGGCUAACUACGUGCCAGCAGCCGCGGUAAUACGUAGGGCGCGAGCGUUGUCCGGAAUUAUUGGGCGUAAAGGGCUUGUAGGCGGUUUGUUAAGUCAGAUGUGAAAUCCCCGGGCUCAACCUGGGAACUGCAUCUGAUACUGGCAAGCUUGAGUCUCGUAGAGGGGGGUAGAAUUCCAGGUGUAGCGGUGAAAUGCGUAGAGAUCUGGAGGAAUACCGGUGGCGAAGGCGGCCCCCUGGACGAAGACUGACGCUCAGGUGCGAAAGCGUGGGGAGCAAACAGG